rnacentral:misc_RNA from 1 species
AAGUCGUAACAAGGUUUCCGUAGGUGAACCUGCGGAAGGAUCAUUACAGUAUUGUGACCCACGCCAGCUCUCCACCGCAAGGUGGUAGAAGGUAUGGAGCCCACCCGUGAUUAUAUUACCUUUGUUGCUUUGGCAGGCCGCGGCCUUCGCUGCCGGCUUCGGCUGGCAUGUGCCUGCCAGAGGACCCCAACUCUUGAUUUUAGUGAUGUCUGAGUACUAUAUAAUAGUUAAAACUUUCAACAACGGAUCUCUUGGUUCUG